rnacentral:rRNA from 1 species
GUUGAACGCUGGCGGCGUGCCUAACACAUGCAAGUCGAGCGAAGCGGGGACGCGUGAGUAACAUGUGUAUAACCUCCUAUAAGACUGGGAAUAACUCCUGAAACCGGUGCCAAUCCCGCAUCUUAUAGCUGGUUCCGUGCUGUAUUAGCUAGUUGGUAAGGUAACGGCUUACCAAGGCAAUGAUGCAUAGCCGACCUGAGAGGGUGAUCAGCCACACUGGAACGGAGACACGGUCCAGACUCCUACGGGAGGCAGCAGUGGGGAAUCUUCCGCAAGGGGGGAAAGCCUGACGGAGCCACGCCGCGUGAGUGAUGAAGGUCUUCGGAUCGUAAAGCUCUUUUGUUAGGGAAGCGGUACCUAAACAGGAAGCCACGGCUAACUACGUGCCAGCAGCCGCGGUAAUUC